rnacentral:rRNA from 1 species
CCCCUAGAUGUUCUGGGCCGCACGCGCGCUACACUGAACAGUUCAACAAGUCUUAACCUUGGCCGAUAGGUCUGGGUAAUCUUUGAACGCUGUUCGUGAUUGGGAUAGACCUUUGCAAUUAUGGGUCUUCAACGAGGAAUUCCUAGUAAACGCAAGUCAUCAGCUUGCAUUGAUUACGUCCCUGCCCUUUGUACACACCGCCCGUCGCACCUACCGAUUGAAUGGUCCGGUGAAAUCUCGGGACGGCGGCUUGAUCGCUUGCGUCCGACUGCUGAAACUUGAUUAAACCAUAUCAUUUAGAGGAAGGUGAAGUCGUAACA